CCUACGGGUGGCAGCAGUGGGGAAUAUUGGGCAAUGGGCGCAAGCCUGACCCAGCAACGCCGCGUGAAGGAAGAAGGCUUUCGGGUUGUAAACUUCUUUUAUCAGGGACGAAGCAAGUGACGGUACCUGAUGAAUAAGCCACGUCUAACUACGUGCCAGCAGCCGCGGUAAUACGUAGGGGGCAAGCGUUAUCCGGAUUUACUGGGUGUAAGGGGCGUGGAGGGGGGAAAGCAAGUCAGAUGUGAAAACCAUGGGCUCAACCUGUGGCCUGCAUUUGAAACUGUUUUUCUUGAGUACUGGAGAGGCAGGCGGAAUUCCUAGUGUAGCGGUGCAAUGCGUAGAUAUUAGGAGGAACACCAGUGGCGAAGGCGGUCUGCUGGACAGCAACUGACGCUGAGGCGCGAAAGCGUGGGGAGCAAACAGGAUUAGAUACCCCAGUAGUC
rnacentral:rRNA from 1 species